rnacentral:lncRNA from 1 species
UAACUAAAUCUCUGAUUGCUUACUUGGUAAAAGUUUCGAACAUGCCCAACUCUAUUCAUAAUACUUGGAAAAAAUGGAACCUUCCAAAACAAUCUAAAUCCACGAAUCAAUCCAUGGCACCAACUUUGACAGCUAUAUGAAAUGCACACCACAUGGUGGAUGAUAUGGAAAGAAAGGCCUUUUUGAUGUUUUAAAGCAGCAAGAUUCAUUCAUUCUUCCCCUCCAGUUGUUAUUUGGCCUACUCUCCCGGAGAUGCACUUUUGUCAUUUCUCGAUGACCCACGACUAAGCGAGACUACAUCCAUAUCUCGCAGCAAGAUUUUGAUGCAUAGAAUGCUCUAUAUUCAAGGCUUCUAGUAAGGGACAAAGCUAACUUUUGUCGCUAUGUCGCUUUUAUGUGUCACUCAUUUCCUCAUCUCCCUUUAUAUCAAAGGCAGGUUUUCUAGCCUCGAUGCCCAGUUCAGGCUUGUUUCUUUAGAGUGAAAUAUAAAGAAGGCACG